GGUUCGAAUCCUGCACGACCCACCAAUUUCAGCAUUUAACCCAGAUGCUGAACGUGAAGGAUAACGUUGCGACAGCAACGGCCCGUAGGGCGAGGCGAAGUCGAGUCAUCCUGCACGACCCACCA
rnacentral:sRNA from 1 species